AACGAACGCUGGCGGCAUGCCUAACACAUGCAAGUCGAACGAGACCUUCGGGUCUAGUGGCGCACGGGUGCGUAACGCGUGGGAAUCUGCCCUUGGGUUCGGAAUAACAGCGAGAAAUUGCUGCUAAUACCGGAUGAUGACGUAAGUCCAAAGAUUUAUCGCCCAAGGAUGAGCCCGCGUGGAUUAGCUAGUUGGUGAGGUAAAGGCUCACCAAGGCGACGAUCCUUAGCUGGUCUGAGAGGAUGAUCAGCCACACUGGGACUGAGACACGGUCCAGACUCCUACGGGAGGCAGCAGUGGGGAAUUUUGGACAAUGGGGGGCAACCCUGAUCCAGCAAUGCCGCGUGAGUGAAGAAGGCCUCGGUUGUAAAGACUCUUUGUUCUAGGGAAGAAACGGU
rnacentral:rRNA from 1 species